UACGGGGGGGUAAGCGUUGUUCGGAAUUACUGGGCGUAAAGGGCUCGUAGGCGGCCAACUAAGUUCAUACGUGAAAUCCCUCAGCUUAACUGGGGAACUGCGUGUGAUACUGGAUGGCUUGGAUUUGGGAGAGGGAUGCGGAAUUCCAGGUGUAGCGGUGAAAAUGCGUAGAUAUGGAGGAACACCGGUGGACGAAGGCGGCCUGAGCUGGGCC
rnacentral:rRNA from 1 species